rnacentral:rRNA from 1 species
AAUGGGCGAAAGCCUGACCCAGCAACGCCGCGUGAAGGAAGAAGGCCCUCGGGUUGUAAACUUCUUUUAUCAGGGACGAAACAAAUGACGGUACCUGAUGAAUAAGCCACGGCUAACUACGUGCCAGCAGCCGCGGUAAUACGUAGGUGGCAAGCGUUAUCCGGAUUUACUGGGUGUAAAGGGCGUGUAGGCGGGCCUGCAAGUCAGGUGUGAAAUUCCAGGGCUCAACCCUGGAACUGCACUUGAAACUGUGGGUCUUGAGUGAUGGAGAGGCAGGCGGAAUUCCGUGUGUAGCGGUGAAAUGCGUAGAUAUACGGAGGAACACCAGUGGCGAAGGCGGCCUGCUGGACAUUAACUGACGCUGAGGCGCGAAAGCGUGGGGAGCAAA